AUAAAUACGACGUUUCAUAGCCAGCGGUGAGCAUUCCCAAUUUCCCACCCGCCCGACUGGCAGCCGGUCCACCCGGGUGUUGGUGAAGCAGUGAACAGCCUUUAUUCAUUCAUUUCACGGCGAACGCCGUUUUAACGAUUUCCUCAACAUUACUAAACAGAAAUCCAUAAAGUGACUCACCACAUGGCCUGCACUGACACAGGCUUGAAGACAUGUGAGCGCCCCGCUGUGUUCACACUGAAGCCUCUGAAGGCCGAGAAGGGGAAAAAGAGGAGAACGAGAAGGAGUUUACAGAGACAAUGUUACUAGGUCAGCAAGAAC